rnacentral:tRNA from 1 species
GGGGAUGUAGCUCAAAUGGUAGAGCGCUUGCUUAGCAUGCGAGAGGUACGGGGAUCAAUACCUCGCAUUUCCA